GCCCUUUCGGGGGUACACGAGUGGCGAACGGGUGAGUAACACGUGGGUGAUCUGCCCUGCACUUUGGGAUAAGCCUGGGAAACUGGGUCUAAUACCGAAUAUUCCUUGCUGGUCGCAUGGCCUGGUGGGGGAAAGCUUUUGCGGUGUGGGAUGGGCCCGCGGCCUAUCAGCUUGUUGGUGGGGUGAUGGCCUACCAAGGCGACGACGGGUAGCCGGCCUGAGAGGGUGUCCGGCCACACUGGGACUGAGAUACGGCCCAGACUCCUACGGGAGGCAGCAGUGGGGAAUAUUGCACAAUGGGCGCAAGCCUGAUGCAGCGACGCCGCGUGAGGGAUGACGGCCUUCGGGUUGUAAACCUCUUUCAGUACAGACGAAGCGCAAGUGACGGUAUGUACAGAAGAAGCACCGGCCAACUACGUGCCAGCAGCCGCGGUAAUACGUAGGGUGCGAGCGUUGUCCGGAAUUACUGGGCGUAAAGAGCUCGUANGUGGUUUGUCNCGUUGUUCGUGAAAACCGGGGGCUUAACCCUCGGCGUGCGGGCGAUACGGGCAGACUUGAGUACUGCNNGGGAGACUGGAAUUCCUGGUGUANCGGUGGAAUGCGCANAUAUCANGAGGAACACCGGUGGCGAANGCGGGUCUCUGGGCAGUAACUGACGCUGAGGAGCGAAAGCGUGGGGAGCGAACAAGAUUAAANCCCCNGGGUAUUCCNCCCCNCAAANGGGGGGNACUAAGGGNGGGNUUUUNCUUCCCUUGGGAAACCCUGNCNCAAACUAAACCAUNANUAACCCCCCCNGGGGANUACAGCCCCCCCGNGUAAAAAUCNCAAAAAANUUUAUGNGGGGGCCCCCCCCAAACCGNCGGANCAAGGGGGGAUUA
rnacentral:rRNA from 1 species